AACGAACGCUGGUGGCAUGCCUAACACAUGCAAGUCGAACGAGAUCCUUCGGGGUCUAGUGGCGCACGGGUGCGUAACGCGUGGGAAUCUGCCCUUAGGUUCGGAAUAACAGUUAGAAAUGACUGCUAAUACCGGAUGAUGACGUUAAGUCCAAAGAUUUAUCGCCUGAGGAUGAGCCCGCGUAGGAUUAGCUAGUUGGUGUGGUAAAGGCGCACCAAGGCGACGAUCCUUAGCUGGUCUGAGAGGAUGAUCAGCCACACUGGGACUGAGACACGGCCCAGACUCCUACGGGAGGCAGCAGUGGGGAAUAUUGGACAAUGGGCGCAAGCCUGAUCCAGCAAUGCCGCGUGAGUGAUGAAGGCCUUAGGGUUGUAAAGCUCUUUUACCCGGGAUGAUAAUGACAGUACCGGGAGAAUAAGCCCCGGCUAACUCCGUG
rnacentral:rRNA from 1 species